GAGAGAGAGAGGGACGGGAGAGAGAGGGACGGGAGAGAGAGGGAGGGGAUAGAGAGAGAGAGAGGGAGAGGGAGGGGAGAGAGAGAAGUUCUCAAUUGGUACAAAAUAUAUAGAGUACAGUACACACUACAAUUACUGAGGUUUAAAUAUAUAGAGUACUGCACACAUUACAAUUACUGAGGUUUAAAUAUAUAGAGUACUGUACACACUACAAUUACUGAGGUUUAAAUAUAUAGAGUACUGUACACACUACAAUUACUGAGGUUUAAAUAUAUAGAGUACUGCACACAUUACAAUUACUGAGGUUUAAAUAUAUAGAGUACUGUACACACUACAAUUACUGAGGUUUAAAUAUAUAGAGUACUGUACACACUACAAUUACUGAGGUUUAAAUAUAUAGAGUACUGUACACACUACAAUUACUGAGGUUUAAAAAUAAGCUAAACUGGACACCUUAAUGAGGCAGUGAAUGAACUGAGAGAGAAAGC
rnacentral:lncRNA from 1 species